UACGAAGGGGGCUAGCGUUGCUCUGAAUCACUGGGCGUAAAGGGUGCGUAGGCGGGUUUUUAAGUCAGAGGUGAAAUCCUGGAGCUCAACUCCAGAACUGCCUUUGAUACUGAGAAUCUUGAGUAUGGGAGAGGUGAGUGGAACUGCGAGUGUAGAGGUGAAAUUCGUAGAUAUUCGCAAGAACACCAGUGGCGAAGGCGGCUCACUGGCCCAUAACUGACGCUGAGGCACGAAAGCGUGGGGAGCAAACAGG
rnacentral:rRNA from 1 species